rnacentral:misc_RNA from 1 species
GGUGAGGAGCCACAAGUAGAACCUGCUUUAAAUUCCAUUCUUCGAAUCAUUUUGCGGACAUCCAGUAUGCAAGAGUUCAUGACAGCUGACCAUGUUUUUAAGAGUUUUUGUGAGAAAAAUUCUGAUGGUCAAACAAUGUUAGCAUCCACAUUAAUUCCUCAACCGCAUUCAAUGACUCAUGCUCCUAUAGAGGAGGACGUGAAUAUGUCAUUUGGAAGCAUGCUGUUACAUGGUCUUACUUUGAGUGAAAGUGAUGGGGAUCUUGAGACCUGUUGCAGGGCUGCUAGUGUACUUUCUCAUGUACUUAAGGACAAUAUCCAGUGCAAGGAGAAGGUAAUACGAAUUGAACUCGAGUCACCUAUGCCAUCCUUUGGAGCUGCAGAGCCACUAAUGCACCGCAUGGUGAAGUACUUGGCUCUUGCCUCCAGCAUGAAAAACAAAGAUACAAAGUCAAGUUCAAUGGGGAACUUGUAUGUUCAACCAAUUAUUUUGAAAUUGCUGGUCACUUGGUUGGCUGACUGCUCCACUGGAGUUCAGUGCUUCCUUGAUUCACGUCCCCACCUAACGUAUCUUCUUGAGUUGGCAUCAAAUCCAUCUGCAACUGUGUACAUAAGGGGCUUGGCAGCAGUUCUCUUGGGAGAGUGUGUUAUUUACAACAAGUC